rnacentral:rRNA from 1 species
GACGAACCGUCCAAACGUUAUUCGGAAUCACUGGGCUUACAGAGUUCGUAGGCGGUCUGGAAAGUUGGGUGUGAAAUCCUCGGCUCAACCGAGGAACUGCGCUUGAAACUACCAGACUCGAGGGAGAUAGAGGAAAGCGGAACUGAUGGUGGAGCGGUGAAAUGCGUUGAUAUCAUCAGGAACACCGGUGGCGAAGGCGGCUUUCUGGGUCUUACCUGACGCUGAGGAACGAAAGCUAGGGGAGCGAACGGG